UCGGUUAUUUCGGUUUUCUUGCUCACCCCUACCUCAAAGUAGUUCACUUAGGGUUUGUUUAUUUGUGCGUUUCGCCUCAAAAUUCUCAAAAAGAAAGAAAGAAACAUGAAUCAGGAACAAGAGCUUGCUGCAGCAGAAGGAUUCGUUAGGCGUUACUUCGAGCUGCUUGACACAAAUCCGGCUGAAUCAGCUUCUGUGUUUGAUGAUGAAUCAUCCGAGUUUUUUUAUGAUAGGAUUAAGGUAGUAACCAGUUUUAACAUUGUUGGGAAGCUAAGUGAGCUUUCAUCUAAGGGGUGCAGUCACAACAUCACAACCAUGGAUUCUAUGUUGUGUGAAAUGGAGGACCGCGGUACACUUAGUCUCCGUCAACGGACGUCUCAAAGUCAUCAGAUUUGAUGAUGAUGAUGAUGAUGAUGAUGAUGAUGAUGAUGAUGAUCUUGUGUUCAGUCAGAGAAGAAGAUUCAUCAUCAAAUAUGAUGUAAAGCCCCCAAGUGGAUCAUAUAACUCAUGUGGUUUAAAAAAACGGUUGAGUCAUGCACGUCAAGGCGAGGCACCUAAAAACGAGUUUGAGGGCACCUCAGGGGUUUGUUGAUGUGUGUUUCCUUUCAUUGGCGUAGUGGGUUAUGUUUCAUUCCGCUGAUUUCUUUGUUUUCGGUUUCAUUUUCUAAGCCUAUAAAAAUGCAACUUUUAUUAUUGAA